ensembl:lncRNA
GAGACAGUCAAAGCUGUGCCACUGCACAAGUGCUGUGAGUCCUGGCCACUUGCUCUGGACUCUAUGGACAAGGCAUGGAAAGCAGUCCUUGCUGGCUCCAGGACCUGUCACUGUCCACUUGUAGUGACCCCAGAAAACACAUUUAUUUACAGUUGUGCUGCUUCACCCUCUCUGUUUCUACCAGCAGGUUCCAGCUCUGACUGCGCUGUCCCCAGGGAAGGAAGGGUCCUGGUGACCUGGCAGGGGACAUGGAGCUGCUGGCUGUCACAGCCGCAGAGGAAGCAGGGAAGGAUGCAACAGCAUCACAACCCAAGGUGGAAGGAGCAGAAGAAGCAGCUGCAAUGCCAGAGGCAGAAAGCUUAGAAGGGAAGGUUAUCACUGCUGAAGGAGCAGCAGCAACUGUGGUGGGAGCGUCAGAAAACCCAGCAGCAGAAAGAGUGGCUAAAGCGUUUGCCAGGGCAGCAGAAAGAAUUGCAGGAGCAGAAGUAGCCAAGGUGCUGCAGUCAGCAAUAGCUGAGCUCAAAGGAAAGAGGAAGGAUGUGUGGAUAAAGCCAAGGAACGCCACUCAGCAGGAAGAGGAUUGGAUGAAAGAGGGAGAGGUGAAAUGAAAUGGAGAGGUGAUGUUCUGGGUCAUACCUCCUAAUGGCUUGUACCAUCACUCCUGGAAUGCAAUAGGGCUGCCAAUCACAUCUCUUUUGUGACUCAUUAUACUGUUAAAAAUAAAUAUAUGGCAUAUUCUGCA